rnacentral:rRNA from 1 species
UAAGCCCCGCACGCCACGCCGUCUGGUGGAUGGCUUGGCUUGAACGCUGAAGAAGGGCGUGGCAAGCUGCGAUAAGCCUCGGGUAGGCGCAUGCAGCCUUAGAUCCGAGGAUACCUGAAUGGGACUUCCUGCUGCGGACUUCCGCAAGGAUGUCUGUGGCGCUCCAACAUUGGAGUGGGGACCCUCCGAACGGAAACAUCUUAUUAGGGGGAGGAAGAGAAACCAAUAGGGAUUCCCUUAUUAACGGCGAGUGAAAGGGGAAGAGUCCAAACUGAACACUAUGGGGAAACUCAUGGUGGAUGUGGUGUUGUGGGCCCGGCUGCUUCCUCCUCAGCGAAGCCGAAAUGACCUGGAAUGGUCUGCCAGAGAGGGUGAAAGCCCUGUAGGUGUAAACUGAGUGGAAUUGAGUCGGUGUCCCUGAGUACUAUACCCUGACUUGGGUGUGGGAAGCUGGAAGUCACCAACUUCCAAGGCUAAAUACGUUUCAAGACCGAUAGCGUACUAGUACGGUGACAGAAUGCUGAAAAGUGCCCCGGAAGGGGGGUGAAAAGUGUCUGAAACCAGGCGGUUACAGACGUGUGCGGUCUGUAAGGGUAGAUCCCUCCCAAAGGAAGCUGCGGCGACGCAGUGUACGAGGGAGGAGGACUAGGAUCGCACGUUCCGUCUAGAAACACGGGCCGGGGAGUUCACAGCUGUGGCAAGCCUAAGGAUUAAGAGUCCGUAAGCGUAGGGAAACCAAAGUGCACGCAGCCAAUCCUUGUGGUUGGUGAGGUGCUGAGUCUGAAAGGGCUCGGAGUCACGGCUGAGAUACUAGAAACCGAGCGAUCUAGCCCUGGGCAGGGCGAAGCUAGGCGAAAGUCUGGUGGAGGCCCGAAGGAGUGCUGACGUGCAAUUCGCUUCUCUGACCUGGGGCUAGGGGCGAAAGACCAAUCUAGCUCGGUGAUAGCUAGUUCCCUCCGAAGUGGGUCGUAGCCCAGCCCCGAGCGAGGCUGCCGAUGGUGUAGAGCACUGAAUGGAAAGUAAGGGAUCGAAAGAUCUCGCUUUUCUCUCAAACUCCGAAGUCAUCGGCGCUGUAGACCUCGGGAGACGGGUUCUGGGGGGUAAGCUCCCAGACCGAGAGGGGAACAACCCAGACCAUGGUUAAGGCCCCAAAGUGCUGGCUAAGUGUUAAACUGAAAGGCGUCAUCAGCCUGAGACAGCGGGGAGGUAGGCUUAGAAGCAGCCAUCCUCUAAAGAAAGCGUAACAGCUCACCCGCCGAGGCUGAUGGCCCUGAAAAUGGACGGGACUAAGCCAGCCGCCGAUACCUUGGAGUGUAGUGUAAGCUACAAUCUGGUAGGAGGGCGUCCUGGCUGGGCGGAAGCUGGGCCGUGAGGUCCAGUGGACCGGUCCAGGAUUGAAAAUCCCGGCGGUAGUAACAGCAAAGAGAGGUGAGAAUCCUCUCCGCCGAAGGGGCAAGGGUUCCCCGGCAAUGCGUCGUCAGCCGGGGGUAAGCCGGUCCUAAGGCCGACCUUAACUGGGUAGGCCGAAAGGGAAACCGGUUAAGAUUCCGGUGCCGCAGAGGUACGUGCGGUGACGCAGGCUCAGUAUUUGACGCUUCGGGAUACGCUGAGCAGGGCUGUCGCCUUGUUCAACCGUAUACGCCUGGGGAGUGCCGCAAUGGCGGGAACCAGGUGAAAUCGGGAAUAGCCAUCCGUUUUAGGAAGGUUCGGCUGAUUCCUGGAGCCAAUGAAAAGGGUGCUGAGAAGGAUCCUCUGCGACCGUACCCAGAACCAACACAGGUGUCCCUAGGCUAGAAACCUAAGGCGUGUCGGGUAUACGCCAAGCGAGGGAACUCGGCAAAUUAGCCCCGUAACUUCGGGAUAUGGGGUGCCUGUGGUUUUAGCCUCAGGCUGGAACCGCAGGUCGCAGUGACAAGGGGGUCUCGACUGUUUAAUAAAAACACAGGGAGCCGCAAGCCCGAAAGGGUGUGAACGGCUUCUGAAUCCUGGCCAGUACAGGUACCUGAAACCUGGGUUCAACCGGGCUAAGGGCCUGCAAACGCCGGGAAUAACUCUGAUUCUCUCAAGGUAGCCAAAUGCCUUGUCGGGUAAGUUCCGACGUGCACGAAUGGAACAACGAAGGCCCCGCUGUCCCCGCUUGGCACCCGGUGAACCCACGUAACGUGGCCGAACAGUCCACAAACUCCCAGCGGGAAAAGAAGACCCCGUGGAGCUUUACUGCAGCCUGCUGCUGGGACAUGGUUGUGAAUGCAGAGUGUAGGCGGGAGCCGUUAACCCUGAUCUCUCCGGGGAUCAGGUAGGCAACAAUGGAACACCGCCCAUCCGCGACUAUUUCUCUUACCGGCGCGAAGGCGCUGAGACAAUAGCAGGUGGGCAGUUUGGCUGGGGCGGCACCCCCUUGAAAAAAUAUCGAGGGGGCCCAAAGGUCAGCUCAGGCGGGACAGAAACCCGCCGUAGAGUGCAAAGGUAAAAGCUGGCUUGACUGGAUCCUCCACAGUAAGGGAUCCAGAGGCGAAAGCCGGGCUUAGCGAGCCGUCAUGUCCUCAUUGGUGGGGGCUGGCGGCGACAGAAAAGUUACCCCGGGGAUAACAGGCUCGUCGCGGGCGAGAGUUCCCAUUGACCCCGCGGCUUGGUACCUCGAUGUCGGCUCUUCCCUUCCUGGCUCUGCAUAAAGGGCCAAGGGUGAGGCUGCUCGCCUAUUAAAGGGGAACGUGAGCUGGGUUUAGACCGUCGUGAGACAGGUCAGACUUUAUCUGCUGGGAGCGUCGGCCGCCUGAGGGGAAAGGGUCCCCAGUACGAGAGGAACGGGAUGCUGUAGCCUCUAGUCUACCGGUUGUCCGACAGGGCACUGCCGGGCAGCCACGCUGCUGCGGAUAAGAGCUGAAAGCAUCUAAGCUCGAAGCCGCUCCCGAGAAGAGGCGGCCAUUCCCUGACAUGAGACCUGGUGACGGGCCUCGGUCAUGGACGAGGGCCCCCGUAGAAGACGGGGUUGAUGGGGCCGGGGUGUACGCGCCAAGGCUACGGCCGAGGCGUUCAGCCCGCGGCUCCCAAUCGCCCAAGGUGCCGGGCCGAA